AGUGAACGCUGGCGGUAGGCCUAACACAUGCAAGUCGAACGGCAGCACAGUAAGAGCUUGCUCGUACGGGUGGCGAGUGGCGGACGGGUGAGGAAUACAUCGGAAUCUACUUUUUCGUGGGGGAUAACGUAGGGAAACUUACGCUAAUACCGCAUACGACCUACGGGUGAAAGCAGGGGAUCUUCGGACCUUGCGCGAUUGAAUGAGCCGAUGUCGGAUUAGCUAGUUGGCGGGGUAAAGGCCCACCAAGGCGACGAUCCGUAGCUGGUCUGAGAGGAUGAUCAGCCACACGGGAACUGAGACACGGUCCAGACUCCUACGGGAGGCAGCAGUGGGGAAUAUUGGACAAUGGGCGCAAGCCUGAUCCAGCCAUACCGCGUGGGUGAAGAAGGCCUUCGGGUUGUAAAGCCCUUUUGUUGGGAAAGAAAAGCAGCAGGUUAAUACCCCGCUGUUCUGACGGUACCCAAAGAAUAAGCACCGGCUAACUUCGUG
rnacentral:rRNA from 1 species